rnacentral:rRNA from 1 species
UACGAAGGGGCUAGCGUUGUUCGGAAUCACUGGGCGUAAAGGGCGCGUAGGCGGCCGAUCAAGUCGGGGGUGAAAGCCUGUGGCUCAACCACAGAAUUGCCUUCGAUACUGUUUGGCUUGAGACCGGAAGAGGUUAGUGGAACUGCGAGUGUAGAGGUGAAAUUCGUAGAUAUUCGCAAGAACACCAGUAGCGAAGGCGGCUGACUGGUCCGGUUCUGACGCUGAGGCGCGAAAGCGUGGGGAGCAAACAGG